rnacentral:rRNA from 1 species
GACUGCAUGAAGCUGGAAUCGCUAGUAAUCGCGAAUCAGAAUGUCGCGGUGAAUACGUUCCCGGGUCUUGUACACACCGCCCGUCACACCAUGGGAGCCGACAACGCCCGAAGUCAGUGACCUAACCGAGAGGGAGGAGCUGCCGAAGGCGGGGUUGGUAACUGGGGUGAAGUCGUAACAAGGUAGC